AAAAACCACACAAGCCACAUAAUGUAAAUACAACUAAGUGACCAUAAAAAUUGAAAAUAAAGAUUAAAAAAAUCUGCUAAUAAUAAUAAAAUUUUAGAAAGCAUGUAUAGCUGUAUUACUAUUUUACAAUAAGGCUGGGAAUGUAGUGCAGUGGUAGAGCACUUGUCUAGCAUGUUCAAGGCUAUUGAGUUGAAUCCCUAGCACAGCAUAAACUAAAAUUUAAAAAAUCUAGGGAAGCCAGGCUCAGUGGUGCAAGUCUAUAGUUCCAGCAGGAAGGCUGAGGUGGGAAGACCACUUAAAUCCAGAAGUUUGAGACCAAGUAGGCAACAUAAGGAGAACACUCUCAAAAACAAAACAACAGGGCUGGGGAUAUAGCUCAGUUGGUAGAGUGCUUGCCUUGUACAAGGCCCUGGGUUCAAUCCCUAGCACCAAAAAAAAAAAAAAACCUUUCAAAAACAAAACAACAAAUGAACAUAUUCCCUAGGAAAUGAAUGUAGGUUAAGAAGGGAAGACUGAACCCUGGGAUACUUUGAUAUUUAGAUGAGUGAGGGAGCAACCCUUGAUAAAAACAACCAGGAGAAAGUAGUAUCCCAGAAGCCUAGUGAAGAAAAUGUUUCAGAGAGGAAGUAAACUCAGCUGCUGUUGACAUCAAGAAAGAUGAAGACUGAUAUAUUUAGCAAAAUGAGAGGGCAUUAAUGACCUUAACAAGAGACACUGUGGGUAGGAGAAAAACCUUGGGAGUUCAAGAGAAAUUUGUGGGGCCAAAAAAAAAAAAAAAAUCCAAAACAAACAAACAAUUUGUAGGCACAGUGGUGCACACCUGCAGUUUCAGCAACUCAGGAGACUGAUUCCCAAGUUCAGA
rnacentral:lncRNA from 1 species